UACGUAGGGGGCAAGCGUUGUCCGGAAUUAUUGGGCGUAAAGCGCGCGCAGGCGGUCAUUUAAGUCUGGUGUUUAAUCCCGGGGCUCAACCCCGGAUCGCACUGGAAACUGGGUGACUUGAGUGCAGAAGAGGAGAGUGGAAUUCCACGUGUAGCGGUGAAAUGCGUAGAUAUGUGGAGGAACACCAGUGGCGAAGGCGACUCUCUGGGCUGUAACUGACGCUGAGACGCGAAAGCGUGGGGAGCAAACAGG
rnacentral:rRNA from 1 species